ACGUGAUCUGAGUUCAGACCGGAGUAAUCCAGGUCGGUUUCUAUCUAUAACAGGGCUUUUUCUAGUACGAAAGGACCGAAAAAGCAUGGCCCAUGCUAACAGUAAGCCAUUUAUACUAAUUUAUAAUACCCACUUAAUUUACUAUUAACCUACAACCUCCCUUAAAAUAAAAGG
rnacentral:rRNA from 1 species